rnacentral:rRNA from 1 species
GACAGAGGGUGCAAACGUUAUUCGGAUUUACUGGGCUUAAAGAGUUCGUAGGCGGUUCGGUAAGUGAGGUGUGAAAGCCCUCGGCUCAACCGAGGAAUUGCGCUUCGAACUGCCGGGCUCGAGGGAGAUAGAGGUGAGCGGAACUGAUGGUGGAGCGGUGAAAUGCGUUGAUAUCAUCAGGAACACCAGAGGCGAAGGCGGCUCACUGGG